UGGGGGAUAUUGCACAAUGGGCGAAAGCCUGAUGCAGCGACGCCGCGUGGGGGAUGAAGGCCUUCGGGUUGUAAACUUCUUUUGCUCUGAACAAGGCAUGCCUUUGGGGUGUGUUGAGUGUAGGGGUUGAUUAGCGCCGGCUAACUACGUGCCAGCAGCCGCGGUAAUACGUAGGGCGCGAGCGUUGUCCGGAAUUAUUGGGCGUAAAGGGCUUGUAGGUGGCUGGUUGCGUCUGUCGUGAAAGCUCAUGGCUUAACUGUGGGUUUGCGGUGGGUACGGGCUGGUUUGAGUGCAGUAGGGGAGGCUGGAAUUCCUGGUGUAGCGGUGGAAUGCGCAGAUAUCAGGAGGAAUACCGGUGGCGAAGGCGGGUCUCUGGGCUGUUACUGACGCUGAGGAGCGAAAGCGUGGGGAGCGAACAGG
rnacentral:rRNA from 1 species